rnacentral:rRNA from 1 species
UGGGGAAUAUUGCACAAUGGGCGCAAGCCUGAUGCAGCGACGCCGCGUGAGGGAUGACGGCCUUCGGGUUGUAAACCUCUUUCAGUAGGGAAGAAGCGAAAGUGACGGUACCUGCAGAAGAAGCGCCGGCUAACUACGUGCCAGCAGCCGCGGUAAUACGUAGGGCGCAAGCGUUAUCCGGAAUUAUUGGGCGUAAAGAGCUCGUAGGCGGUUUGUCGCGUCUGCCGUGAAAGUCCGGGGCUCAACUCCGGAUCUGCGGUGGGUACGGGCAGACUAGAGUGAUGUAGGGGAGACUGGAAUUCCUGGUGUAGCGGUGAAAUGCGCAGAUAUCAGGAGGAACACCGAUGGCGAAGGCAGGUCUCUGGGCAUUAACUGACGCUGAGGAGCGAAAGCAUGGGGAGCGAACAGGAUUAGAUACCCUGGUAGUCCAUGCCGUAAACGUUGGGCACUAGGUGUGGGGGACGAUUCCACGUUUUCCGCGCCGUAGCUAACG